UACGGGGGGAGCAAGCGUUUGUUCGGAUUUACUGGGCGUAAAGGGCGCGUAGGCGGCGUGACAAGUCACUUGUGAAAUCUCCGGGCUUAACUCGGACGGUCAAGUGAUACUGUCGUGCUAGAGUACAGAAGGGGCAACUGGAAUUCUCGGUGUAGCGGUGAAUGCGUAGAUAUCGAGAGGAACACCUGCGGCGAAGGCGGGUUGCUGGGCUGAUACUGACGCUGAGGCGCGAAAGCUAGGGAGCAAACGGG
rnacentral:rRNA from 1 species